rnacentral:rRNA from 1 species
UACGGAGGGUGCGAGCGUUUAUCCGGAUUCACUGGGUUUAAAGGGGCGCGUAGGUGGCGCGACAAGUCAGUGGUGAAAAGUUCGACGCUCAACGUCGAAUCGGCCACUGAUACUGUUGGGCUUGAGCACUGUAGAGGCUAAUGGAAUUCCGGGGUGUAGCGGUGGAAUGCGUAGAGAUCCGGAAGAACACCGGUGGCGAAGGCGGUUAGCUGGGGCAGUUGCUGACACUGAGGCGCGACACGUGGGGGAGCAAAACAGGG